rnacentral:rRNA from 1 species
GACGAACGCUGGCGGCGUGCUUAAUACAUGCAAGUCAACGACUUUUAGAGUAGCAAUAUUCUAAAGGAAGUGGCGCACGGGUGAGUAACACGUAGGUAAUCUGCCUUCAGGACUGACACAACUCGUCGAAAGACGGGCUAAUAUCAGAUAAUGCAGCGGCUCCGCAUGGAGACAGUUGUUAAAGUACAAGCGCCUGAAGAUGAGCCUGCGGUCCAUUAGCUAGUUGGUAGAGUAAAGCCUACCAAGGCAACGAUGGAUAGCUGGUCUGAGAGGAUGAUCAGCCACACUGGAACUGAGACACGGUCCAGACUCCUACGGGAGGCAGCAGUAAGGAAUAUUGCUCAAUGGCCGAAAGGCUGAAGCAGCAACGCCGCGUGAAGGAUGAAUGGCCUUUGGCCUGUAAACUUCUGUAAAAGGGAAAACAGUCAGGUAUAUCCUGAUUUGAUUGUACCUUUGAAGUAAGACCCGGCUAACUACGUGCCAG